UGUCACGUCGAUUACGACCGCGCUCCUACCGUCCGACAUGUCACGGUAUUUUUGCAAACCCUUUGUCAUGUUGACAUCGAACCCCCCCACAGCAGGUCGGGUACUACACCGAUGUCCAAGCAGUAUUCUGAAGCUGCUGUCAAAACUCGAAUAUCCCCGAAAGCGACGAGUCACGCAGAAGAAAAGAGUGUAGUAAAUUAUAAAUUAAAGCAUUUUGGAUAGUUGUGAAUUUCACGAAUUUGUGAGCUGGAACGUUGUGCGAGAGAAAUUCUUGGUUGGCUAGAUUAGUAACGAGUGUUAGAAAUAACACUGCAUCUGACUACCUGAACGUAGUUAUCGGUUGAUUAGAAUCUACACGAGGGCUAGAAGAACACUAAACGAAAUAAAAAUCUACACCCAGAACAACCUGGUGUUUAUUCGUGUUUCGGAAAACGCACCCUAGCCGUCAACUCAAUUCAACAGGUAUUU